rnacentral:rRNA from 1 species
UAGUCUCGAGAGCGUUUUCCCGGCGGAUCCUCCCUGCCUAAGUAGCUUGGAACAGCUCAUCAGAGAGGGUGACAAUCCCGUUCGCGGCAGGGCGGGCCGUCCACGAUACGCUUUCCACGAGUCGGGUUGCUUGGGAAUGCAGCCCAAAAUUGGUGGUAAACUCCAUCUAAAGCUAAAUAUUGGCACGAGACCGAUAGCGAACAAGUACCGUGAGGGAAAGAUGAAAAGAACUUUGAAAAGAGAGUUAAAAAGUGCGUGAAACCGUUAGAGGGGAAACGGAUGCAGUUAGCAACGCCCCCGCGAGAUUCAGGUGGACCUGUCUGGCGAGCUGUGCAAUUGGUGGAUCUGAAUGGACCGUCGUUGCAUCGCCUCGUCUCUCGUCCGCCGCACUUCUCGCGAGGGUGCGUCAACAGCUGCUGGCACAUCGGUCUACACGGCACCUGCGGAAGGUAGGCGUCCGGCUCUGGCCGGGUGUUGUUAUAGCCGCUAGUGUCCCAGUCCGUCGCCGGCAGAGGUGAGCGGUGCAUGCUCGCUCGUUCGCGCGCGUGGGCUGGCGUCCUGUGGCGUUCUUCGAGUCCUCCGGGGUGCACUGCGUGCAGUGCAUCACUCAGGGUGAGGAGGCGUGCAGUCAACGCACACAAUGCACCAUGGUUGUUGGCGGCCAUAUGGCUUUAUCCGACCCGUCUUGAAACACGGAC